rnacentral:rRNA from 1 species
GAUGAACGCUGGCGGCGUGCUUAACACAUGCAAGUCGAACGAUGAAGCCCAGCUUGCUGGGUGGAUUAGUGGCGAACGGGUGAGUAACACGUGAGUAACCUGCCCUUGACUCUGGGAUAAGCGCUGGAAACGGCGUCUAAUACCGGAUACGAGCUUCCACCGCAUGGUGAGUUGCUGGAAAGAAUUUCGGUCAGGGAUGGACUCGCGGCCUAUCAGGUAGUUGGUGAGGUAACGGCUCACCAAGCCGACGACGGGUAGCCGGCCUGAGAGGGUGACCGGCCACACUGGGACUGAGACACGGCCCAGACUCCUACGGGAGGCAGCAGUGGGGAAUAUUGCACAAUGGGCGCAAGCCUGAUGCAGCAACGCCGCGUGAGGGACGAAGGCCUUCGGGUCGUAAACCUCUUUUAGCAGGGAAGAAGCGAAAGUGACGGUACCUGCAGAAAAAGCACCGGCUAACUACGUG